GAUGAACGCUGGCGGCGUGCUUAACACAUGCAAGUCGAACGGAAAGGCUCCUGCUUGCAGGGGUACUCGAGUGGCGAACGGGUGAGUAACACGUGGGGGAUCUGCCCUGCACUUCGGGAUAAGCCUGGGAAACUGGGUCUAAUACCGGAUAGGACCACAUUUUGGAUGGUGUGGUGGAAAGUUUUUCGGUGUGGGAUGAGCUCGCGGCCUAUAAGCCUGUUGGUGGGGUAAUGGCCUACCAAGGCGGCGACGGGUAGCCGGCCUGAGAGGGUGUACGGCCACAUUGGGACUGAGAGACGGGCCAGACUCCGACAGGAGGCAGCAGUGGGGAAUAUUGCACAAUGGGCGCAAGCCUGAGGCAGCGACGCCGCGUGGGGGAUGACGGCCUUCGGGUUGUAAACUCCUUUCGCUAGGGACGAAGCGUUUUUGUGACGGUACCUGGAGAAGAAGCACCGGCUAACUACGUG
rnacentral:rRNA from 1 species